GAGUUCCAAGGAAUAGCAACAGCAGCAUGAUAACGUUUGUUCUGCCCAUUGUCUGGUCAUGGUGUAUGGCUGACCCCUACAGGCCAUUUUCAAUAUUGCAGUUUUAUUACUCUGUAUAUGCGCUGUGUUAAUUUAGUUUGGCAACAGGCAACGUGCAGCAACAGUUUCAGUUCAGCUCGCGAACAGCCAUUGCCUUAGAGAAAGAUAUGCUUUUUUACAAAUGAAAAUGAGCAAUCACUGAAGUAAACAUUCUGGAAAGAAUAAACUGCUUCAUGUGUAUUUGUUAGCUAGCUGUCUAGCUUCUUCAUAGCAACGUAGUUCCGAGGACAGCAUAGUAAAAAAGCAUUGAUGCAACAAGCAAGAUUACAAGAGCUGUACUUACUAUGCUGCACAAUCCUGUGAUCUAAUUGAAGAAUUCAGUUUGCAUGAAAGCAAGAUGGAUACAGACAAGGACGCUAAAAUUACCCAGCAGGGUUUAGAGACAUGAUCGCAAGUAUCCGGCUCCAGAUAUUCUUCACGCUCGAGUAGACCAUCUGCCAGUUAAACAGCUAUUUGUGCUAGAGCAAAAGCCGAAGCGGCACGUGCAGAGGUGUCCUACGCUGAAAAAUAGGCAAAAAUGUUGGAAGAGAAAGCAGAAUUGGAAGCGGAAUCAGCGAGACGCAAAGCAGAAUUAGAAGCUUAUUUGGAUGUAUUACAAAAACAAACGGCAGCAGUUGCAGCUUUGGCUGAAGCAGCAGUUUAUGAUGCUGCAGUUGAAUCAGAGGAACCACUUAAGGAUUUCUCAGAAUUAGCUAUUCAAUAUGUAGAACAAAAAAACCAGUGAGUAUGUGGAGACUCAUUCUCUGACUCAAGAUACCCAGGAACAGGUUCACAUGCAGUCUAUGUCUUAAGCAUCACGGCAGCCUCCAGAUUCUACAUACCCUCAGUUUACUCCGGGAGCUCCUAGAUUUCUUCCUCUCCAUCAGAGUAACACAGUUCAAGUCUCAACACCAAAAGUUAGUGUGAGAGACGGCGGAGGCUAUAGUGCUCCACAGCAUUCCACACACUAUGCAAACUCUCCUGAAUCCUCUCUCAGAGACUAUCCAAUGAGACCUUUAGAGACUACUGAUUUAACAAAACAUCUGAUACGAUGGGAUUUAGUGAGUACCGGGCUACUGACGUUCAAUGACUGUCCAGAAAAUUAUUGGGCAUGGAAGACCUCAUUCCAUAGUGUGAUUAGAGACUUCAAUGUAACUGCUAGGGAGGAGUUGGACCUACUCGUAAAAUGGCCCGGGCCAGAAUCUUCACAACAGGCAAAGAGAAUCAGGUCAGUGAAUGUCCAUAAUCCAGCAGUAGGGGUUCAGAUGGCAUGGCAGAGGUUGGAAGAAUGCUAUGGUAGCUUUGAGAUCAUUAAGAAUGCUUUGCUAAAGAAACUGGAGAACUUUCCUAAAAUCUCUAACGAAGACAAAGUGAAGUUGAGAGAGCUUGGAGACCUCUUGUUAGAAAUUGAUGCAGCAAAGUCGGGAGGCCACUUGUCAGGACUGGCUUAUCUAGAUACUGCGUGUGGAGUUAAAUCAAUCAUUGAAAAGCUACCGUACAGUUUGCAAGAUAAGUGGAUUGCUCAAGGCUCCAAGUAUAAGGAAGAUUACCAUGUUUCCUUUCCGCCAUUCAGUUUCUUCACCAGAUUCAUUGUUAGUCAGGCCAAGAUCAAGAAAGAGUUUCACAUUCUCAAUAAGCAAUAACCAAACCUCUGCAAAAGCAGAAAUAUCUGCAGCAAAGUAAAGUAACCGAUCAUCUGUAUCAGUCAGAAAGACAGAUGUGUCAACUGUACAUACAGUCUUUAAUGGGAAAAGCCCUGAAAAGAAACACUGAACCAGAUAGUCAGUGUCAAAUUCAUAACAAACCUCAUCCAUUGACAAAGUGUCGUGAGUUCAGAAGUAGACACAUAGAUGAUUGCAAAAGGUACUUGAAAGGAAAUAGCAUUUGUUUUAGAUGUUGUUCAUUUAUUCAGUGUAUUGCCAAGGACGUAAAGUCAGCAUAAAGUGCAAAGAAUGCAAUAGUUAGGAGCACACCGCAGCACUGCAUCCAGGUCCAGCUCCCUGGGUUACAGAACUGCCUGCGGGAGUGAGCCAGCAGGGCGGGGAGAAGAAAGAGACUAUGUCGACAGCUAUUAUAUCCAAGUGCACAGAAAUCUGUGGAAGCAUGAUAAAGCCCAGAUCAUGUUCUAAAAUCUGCUUGGUGACAGUUUAUCCUUGUGGCAAACCUGAAAGUGCUGUGCGGAUGUACACGGUAUUGGAUGAUCAAAGCAAUCGAUCAUUAGCCAAGUCAAGGUUCUUCAAUGCUUUUGGCAUCACAGAAGAGUAAUUCUCAUAUACCUUAAAAACAUGCUCCGGUAUUAUGGAGAAAACAGGACGCAGAGCAUCUGGCUUCACAGUUCAGUCCAUUGAUGAGAACUUCCUACACUCAUUGAAUGUGAUAUGAUGCCUGAUGAUAGAUCUGAAAUUCCUGAUGUCACACAAUACUUCCCUCAUCUAAAAUCUAUAGCAGACAAGAUUCCUGAAGAUGAUCCCGAUGCUUCAAUACUUCUGUUGUUGGGUAGAGAUAUAUUGAGUGUUCAUAAGGUGAUGACACGUUCAAGCUGCAUUCGGUGCAGCUCAAGCUGGAGGCUGUGGAGAAGCAGAUUUGGGUCCUGGAGCAAGGCAGGCCCAGCUGAGCGAGCGGAGAGCCGUGCUGGAAACUUCUCAGGCUGAUGCUCACAAGUCCAGGGUAAGUAAACAGUGUGCUACUAACAGUCCCACCACCUCCACCCCAUGAGUUUCUCUGCACAGGCCCAGUGCACCCAGGACACGAUCUUCCCAGAUGUCCUUCACUCUGGCGCCGGGACACCACGGACCCUGUGUGCAUCCGCAGCGGAGGACGCGAGCCAGGCCACGGGCGACAACCUCUCCCCCUCCAAUCUUCGAGAUCUCCACACGGAACCGCUUCGCUCCCCUCCGCGAGACAGAACGCGACGCAGUAAUCAUCGGAGUCUCCAUUAUCCGACACGUCCGUGCUACGUUAGCCAAAGGUAACACUUACUGUUUCCCUGGUGCUUGUGUUCUUGAUGUUUCUGCGCAGAUACCCGUGAUCCUGAAGGCCGAUGAGAACCCCGGAGUGGUCGUGCUUCACACCGGGUUAACAACACCACGCAGCGGCAGACGGAGACACUGAAGAGGGACUUCAGGAGCCUGAUCGAGACGGUGCGCAGCACAACGCCCGCAGCGACGAUCAUCGUGUCAGGACCACUGCCCACGUAAUGACGAGGACACAAAAGGCUUUUUCGCGCUGAUGGCCUGCACCCCAGCAGAGUCGGAGCGGAUCUCCUCUCGGACAACAUCUCCAGGACUGUAUGCUCCAUAUGACUAUUAAGCCAAUUCUCAAAUAACUGCUAUGAUGGCUUUUGUUCUACCCGCUUAAAUGUUAGAAGUGCUUGCGCUGUCCAAUCUAUUAAGACUGUCUGUUCCCCGAAUAGUAAGGUCAAAAUAUAAA